CCAUCAUCGCCACCACCACCAUCAUCAACUGUACCAUCAUCAGUCCAUCACCACCAAUCAUACCAUCAUCACCAGCACCAAUCAUACCAUCAUCGGCACCACCACCAUCAUCAACUGUACCACCAUCAGGCCUUAAAAUAUCGGUCGGUCACGGACAUUGUCCGACCCAUUCGUGAAAUUGUCCGACGUAGAAAAGAAACCACCGGACAUUCUGUCCGACCUAAGUGAAAAUGAGGUUUAUUGUUUGUCCGACCCGAGUGUAUUGGUGUCCGACCGAACUGUAGCUUUGUCCGACGUAAAUCAAAAUGUACCCUAGCCCAGGAGGCCAGGACUAGAGGCAGGCGUGUAUGUUAAAUGGAAAAUCAGAGUAUUAUUGUAUAAAAGGUGAACUGGAAAUGUUGUUUUAACGUAGUCAAGCGCGGAGCAGCGAGCGAAAUGGUGAAGUGGAAAACGGGCUUAAGUUGUCGAAGUCUUUUUGAUACUGCUGUUCUGGCAAGUAUGUAUGAAAGAAACAAAUUAUUUAAUAUCUUUACAACAUUUACCGUUUAUUCAUUUGUACAUGUAUCAUUCAGACUUAUUUCCGAGUCAAAAAUGAACUGAAGGUCAUCGGACA